UCAUAUUUACUCAAAUUACAUCUCCAUGUGCAUGUUAUGAAAUAUUUCAUUCCAAACACAAGUACAAGAUAAAUGCCGUUGGAGUGGAUGUUGACUUGCAUCAAGAAGUCAAAGCAGGCGUGAAGGGAAGAGAGUACGCUCUUUUAGGGGUUCCAACAUUGAGGGGACCUUCUCCAAACAAGAACCUCCUCCAAAGCAAGAAGGCAGUUGCAGUGAGGAUGCUCUGAGGGGCACCGACAGCUCCGAGCAUCCCCUGUGACCCGACACUGCUCUGGGGUGCUGCUCUGCUGCGCACCGCUCCAUUAGGAAGCAGGAACAUACCCACGAGCUUUUUACCCAGCCUCACCGGAGGAAGGAAACUGAUUUAAAGAAAAUCCAGAAUAAGAUAUUGUUUCAACUGGGAAAGAAUCAUCAAGCUGUAACAACCCAUACUGAGGCAGACUGUUCCACCCAAGCUCAGCCCCAGCUGGGAGCACACAGCCCUUCUGCAAGGUCAGCUCAGACAAGUGGCAUUUCACCACUGUUCACUCAUGCAGAAGGUGGUGCAACAAAACUUACUUUCCUGUGUGCCUCCCCUGCUUUAUCCAAUCCUGGAACAUCCCCUGUGCACCAGUAGCAGGGAGCUCGCUCUGGCACAUUCUUGGUGGAAGCUCUCUCUGCACAUUAGAAUUAAUAUAAUUAAUUAUAUUAAUUAAUAGGAUUAGUCAGGGAUCAUAAUCUUCUUACAUAGUAUAAGUGAUUGCUACCAAGGAGUCUACACCUAAACGCCCCUACCCUAAAUGCCAUUGAAGGUAUCCUUUGAGCACACCAGGAACCUCAGCACCCUUCUCUCAACUACCUACGCUGUAGACAGCUAGAGUUAGACAAGCUACAGUCAAGUAAAUUCUACCUUUCAAGUCCAGUUUAUGCUGCCUGAGCACCCAGUUUUAUAGGAGAAAAUGAGGAUAUAUGAUUAGAGGUUAAUACUGACUUCUCACUGUCCUAGACAGUGAUAGCAAUUAUUUUGUAUGGACAGCUUGUUCCUUCCAUGUGUUUCUCAGAGAUGGAUCCUCUUCAAAAAACUACUCCCUGCCCAAACAGAACAAAGGGCUAUGUCAUCUUCUUCAGGAGCAACCCCUGUUCAAGUAGGAUGCCACAGAUUUGCCUCUGGGGCCAACCUGGGCUGCAGUAGAGCAUGGAGACGGCUGGUUUCAGGUCAGAAAGCAGAACAAGCGUGAGCUCAUCCCCAUGCCAGUUUCUCCACAUUACAAAGUCACCGCAAGACGUGACGACGCAUUGUUCCUGCUCUGGGAGGAUGGGAAUGAGGGCUUGUCUGCACUGCUUGGAAGAGCAGACUGGAAGGAACAAACACACACAAGUAAUCUCAAGUUUGUUCUGACCUAUGUGUACUCAUCAAGACCUUGAUGAUAUGAUAAUCUUCCAACCGGAGCAGACUAUGACUGGACAGUUGCCCCUAGGAAAAAACCCAGGAAGAAAAUCUGGUUCACUGAAGCACAAUAUAGCCAUCAGACGAAGAAUUACGCCCUGUGUGUCUUUCACUGAAGGGAAUUGCUUGCCAUAGUCACCCUCAGCCAGGGUAGAAGAGAGGAGGAGCGUGCCCACCAUCUCCCUGUCAUUGCUGGCAAGGCGAGCCCCCAUGCUGAAACAGCACAAUGGCCACCCACUCUCUGACAGUAACAAUUUCUCAUAGCCUACAUCUUUUCCUUCAGAAAACUUCCAUUUAUAGUUCACAUUUUGUGCUCAGCUUGUUUUGCAUUGGUUUACACUUACCAGCAUUCAAUUAGCAUCUCUAAAUAGGAAGGACUAUCGGGUAAGGGCCAUGCGACUUGCAGACAAACUUUCCCAUCAAGGUGUUUGAGAUCUGGAGGACUGCUGCAGACCUUCUUUCAGAAUUUUGUUUGAUCCACUGUAUAGCAUUGUGCAACGUGCAAUUCUGUAACAGAGAACAAUAUUGAUCUCACUUACCCUCUCUGCCCUUUGUUAGUGGCACCAGAUGAGAAGACAAAAAAUCAGCUCCGAGAUAAUUAGAUGGAGAUAUGUCCUAAAACUUAAAAAAAAGGAGGAUUUUUGAUCUAGACAGUGCCCAAUUCAUAGUAAGAUAUGUAAUCGUCCAAGUGCCUCACUAAGGGGAAAAAAGUGAGAAACUGAAUGGCUGUUAUAUGGUCAUCAUAACGCAAACUGGAGGUGCUAAUGCUGAAAGACUAGGAAAUUCAGAAAUAAACUUUUCCCUUUUCCUUCAACUGAUCUUAUCUUUGUAUGACUAUAUCAUCUAAGAAUUGUGUAUGACUUAAUGCUAAAAAAAAGCCAAAGCCUCCUAUACUGGAGAGGCCACAAUAAAACUGCUUACAAGCUGAAUUAGUCAUAACGUACAUUACUGUGUGCUGUUGAAGUGAGUUAUCUGUAGAGUGCAAGUAUCAGCCAGUACAAACAAAUACUAUUGUCCAAGGAGGGAAAUCUACAUCACUCCUGGUCUUCAAUAAUCAAACCUUGUCUACUACUUAAGUAGAGGAGAUGAUUUUUUUUUCCCAUUUUCAAAUAUUAUAUAAAAACUGAAAAAGGAAACAAAUGAAAAAUACAGGCCAAAUUUGUGCUGACCCAGAAUAGAGUUAUUCAAGUGGUAGAAUAACUCCAAAAGCAUUUUAGAACCAUUCUCAGGGAAACCACGCAUAUGUGAGUUGAAAUUAUUAUUGUCUCCAAAGAGGAAGGGAGAAAAGGUGAAAAAAAAAGAGAGGUGAAUAGACAAGUGUAAGACUUACUAAUUCAGGGAGAAAUUGGAGAUACUGGAUAAUUUGUUGCAUAAUAAUUGCCAACUAUCUCAUUUUAUUAGGGUGGCUCAUUCUCAAAUGAAUGCAUAUUAUCUUUACAGGUUUGUGACCACAAUGUUGAAGUAAAAGGAAAUCUUGCAGUUCAGUUAGAGAGGGAUUCACCUCUAUAUUUUCUAUUAAUUUUCCAAACCAUGUUUUUUUUUAAUAUAAAUGCAUCUGACACCUUUUCUAGUAUUUGGAAGAGCAUUAAAAGAACCAGUCAUAACAAUUUGAUGCCUGCGACUUCAGGCAGCACCCAGAGUGAUAUUUAAUCUCUGCAUCAUCUGCUGCCAAAACCAAACCAUAGCACAAUGCCGCAGUAUGGGAAAGGCAAUAAGAAUCCAUUAUCCUCACUGCAGUUCCAGUAACUCUUAUUACAUAUGUUAUGUUUGAGACAUUGCUAAAACUUGCUAAGUGCUUGCUGACACCUAGUUCCAAAUCAGAUUUUGAUGGAAAUUCUGCUUGAACAAGGAUUUCAAGCUUGAUUCCUGCAUUUCAUGUAUGCCUGCUAGUAUUAAUUUCAGUUACCCAACUCUACAUUUCUAGUAGAGAGCAAUACAACUUCAAGACUUAUUUCCACGUGAUAGUUGCACUGUUCAGUAAAUUUAUCCACAAAUAAGGAAGCCAUACUGUUGCUUCUAAUUCUGUCACUAACUAAACAACCAUAUAAGAACUGCGCUUUUAGAUGUCACAGAACUACUUUUUUUUUGUAGUAUCAAUAAACAUAUUUGUUUUUCCUAA